GAGCAUAACACAAGCAGUAAGCCUCCUUAAAAUUAGCUUCUUCUAUAUUUUCCUGUUUAAUUUACAGAAGCCAAUGACCAAGACACAGCACAAACGAUAACACGCAAACACUGAAACCAAAACCAGAGAUGAAAUACAGAGAAAACAAAUACCAAGAAACAAAACCCAAUCAGUUUCCUGGCGAAUUACGCCUAUUAACUUGAUUAAGAAAUGAAACAUAGAAGAAACAAGAGCAGCAAACAUGAUACAAUUACCUGAAACUUUCCGGGCAAAAAA
rnacentral:misc_RNA from 1 species